rnacentral:rRNA from 1 species
UACAGAGGUCCCAAGCGUUGUUCGGAUUCACUGGGCGUAAAGGGUGCGUAGGUGGUGAGGUAAGUCGGAUGUGAAAGCUCGGAGCUCAACUCCGAAAUGGCAUUGGAAACUACCUUGCUCGAGGGUUGGAGGGGGGACUGGAAUACUUGGUGUAGCAGUGAAAUGCGUAGAUAUCGGGAGGAACACCCGUGGCGAAGGCGGCCAUCUGGACCAGCACUGACGCUGAGGCACGAAAGCGUGGGGAGCAAACAGG